rnacentral:lncRNA from 1 species
CGGCCGACACUCAGGGAAAAUAGAAAAGAACCUACAUGAAAUAUCGGGGUGAAUUUCCCCCGAUAUCACACGGGCUCUUCUCUCACCUGUCUACCUGCUUAACUGCAUAGGAGAGGCAAUGCAUGGUGCUCAUGAACAAGGCAAGCAUUAAAGUCAGACCAGACUAACAUUUGACUCAGUCUUAAUAUUCAGGACUUGGCUUCAAUGUCACCUUAACUGGAAGCUUCUCUCCCUCUCCAGAAGAGCUUCCCAUUGCACUUGAUGCAUGCACUAUUAUUUGAUCAUUUUUGAGUUACAGUCCAAGUCUUUUUGUACCUGAAUAACAUGUUGCCCAGCCAGUUUCUCUUCCUGGAUUCAGAAGUCUUUCAUGGUAGGUCCAGCUAGAAGUGACAAAAAGACAUUU